GAGUGCUGACUAGUUUUUAGUUUAGGGAAAGAGUUCGGAAACAGGCCAUUCGGCCCACCAAGACUGCACCGAUCGGCGAUCCCCGCGCACAAACUAUCCUGUACACACUAGGGACAAUUUACAAUUAUAUGAGGCCAAUUAACCUACAAACCCGUACGCCUUUGGAGUGUGGGAGGAAACCGGAGAUC